AUUGAACGCUGGCGGCAUGCCUUACACAUGCAAGUCGAACGGCAGCACGGGGGCAACCCUGGUGGCGAGUGGCGAACGGGUGAGUAAUGCAUCGGAACGUGCCCAGUAGUGGGGGAUAACCCGGCGAAAGCCAGGCUAAUACCGCAUACGACCCAAGGGUGAAAGCGGGGGACCGUAAGGCCUCGCGCUAUUGGAGCGGCCGAUGUCUGAUUAGCUAGUUGGCGGGGUAAGAGCCCACCAAGGCGACGAUCAGUAGCUGGUCUGAGAGGACGACCAGCCACACUGGGACUGAGACACGGCCCAGACUCCUACGGGAGGCAGCAGUGGGGAAUUUUGGACAAUGGGCGCAAGCCUGAUUCAGCCAUGCCGCGUGCGGGAAGAAGGCCUUCGGGUUGUAAACCGCUUUUGGCAGGAACGAAACGGCGCAAGCCAAUACCUUGCGCUAAUGACGGUACCUGCAGAAUAAGCACCGGCUAACUACGUGCCAGCAGCCGCGGUAAUAC
rnacentral:rRNA from 1 species